UUAAGCCAUGCAUGUCUAAGUAUAAGCAAUUAUACAGCGAAACUGCGAACGGCUCAUUAUAUAAGUUAUCGUUUAUUUGAUAGUGCCUGUCCUACUUGGAUAACCGGGGUAAUUCUAGAGCUAAUACAGGCUAAAAAUCCCGACUUCGGAAGGGAGGUAUUUAUUAAAUUAAAACCCAAGGCCUUUCGGGGCUCUAUGGGGAUUCAUAAUAACUUCACGGAUCGCACGGCCUUGCCCCGGCAAUGGUUCAUUCAAAUUUCUUCCCUAUCAACUUUCAAUGUUGGGGUAUGGGCCAAACAUGGUGGCAACGGGUAACGAAGGGUAAGGGCUCGACCCCGGAAAAGGAGCCGGAAAAACGGCUACUACAUCCAAGGAAGGCAGCAGGCGCGCAAAUUACCCAAUCCCAACUCGGGAAGGUAGUGACAAUAAAUACUGAUACAGGGCUCUUUUGGGUCCUGUAAUUGGAAUGAGUACAAUUUAAAUCCCUUAACGAGGAACAUUGGGAGGGCAGGUCUGGUGCCAGCACCCGCGUUAUUCCAGCUCCAAUAGCGUAUAUAAAGUUGUGUGGUUAAAAGCUCGUAGUUGAACCUUGGCCUGGCUGGCCCGGUCCGCCUCACCGCGUGUACUGGUCUCGGCCGGGCCUUUCCCUCUGUGGAACUCCCAUGCCCUUCACUGGGUGUGGCAGGGAAACAGGACUUUUACUUUGAAAAAAUUAGAGUGCUCCCGGCAGGCCUUUGCUCGAAUACAUUAGCAUGGAAUAAUAAAAUAGGACGUGCGGUUCUAUUUUGUUGGUUUCUAGGACCGCCGUAAUGAUUAAUAGGGACAGUCGGGGGCAUCAGUAUUCCGCAGUUAGAGGUGAAAUUCUUGGAUCUGCGGAAGACUAACUGCUGCGAAAGCGUUUGUCAAGGAUGUUUUCAUUAAUCAGGAACGAAAGUCAGGGGAUCGAAGACGAUCAGAUACCGUCGUAGUCUUGACCAUAAACUAUGCCGACUAGGGAUCGGGCGAUGUUAUAUUUUGACUCGCUCGGCACCUUACGAGAAAUCAAAGUGCUUGGGCUCCAGGGGGAGUAUGGUCGCAAGGCUGAAACUUAAAGAAAUUGACGGAAGGGCACCACCAGGGGUGGAGCCGCGGCUUAAUUUGACUCAACACGGGGAAACUCACCAGGUCCAGACACAAUGAGGAUUGACAGAUUGAGAGCUCUUUCUUGAUUUUGUGGGUGGUGGUGCAUGGCCGUUCUUAGUUGGUGGAGUGAUUUGUCAGAUUAAUUUCGAUAACGAACGAGACCUUCACUGUUAACUAGCCCGUAUUGCUUUGGCAGUACGCUGGCUUCUUAGCGGGACUAUUGGCGCGAGCCAAUGGAAGUUGGAGGCGAUAACAGGUCUGUGAUGCCCUUAGAUGUUCUGGGCCGCACGCGCGCUACACUGACGGAGCCAGCGAGUACUUCCUUAACCGACAGGUUUGGGUAAUCUUGUGAAACUCCGUCGUGCUGGGGAUAGAGCGUUGCAAUUUUCACUCUUCAACGAGGAAUCCCUAGUAAGCGCAAGUCAUCAGCUUGC
rnacentral:rRNA from 1 species